AUUGAACGCUGGCGGAAUGCUUUACACAUGCAAGUCGAGCGGCAGCGCGGGGGCAACCCUGGCGGCGAGCGGCGAACGGGUGAGUAAUAUAUCGGAACGUACCCCGUCGUGGGGGAUAACACAGCGAAAGCUGUGCUAAUACCGCAUACGACCUGAGGGUGAAAGCGGGGGAUCGCAAGACCUCGCGCGAUGGGAGCGGCCGAUAUCGGAUUAGCUUGUUGGUGAGGUAAAGGCUCACCAAGGCGACGAUCCGUAGCUGGUCUGAGAGGACGACCAGCCACACUGGAACUGAGACACGGUCCAGACUCCUACGGGAGGCAGCAGUGGGGAAUUUUGGACAAUGGGGGCAACCCUGAUCCAGCCAUUCCGCGUGAGUGAAGAAGGCC
rnacentral:rRNA from 1 species